rnacentral:rRNA from 1 species
UUGGAGGGCAAGUCUGGUGCCAGCAGCCGCGGUAAUUCCAGCUCCAAUAGCGUAUAUUUAAGUUGUUGCAGUUAAAAAGCUCGUAGUUGAAUUUCGGGGUUAGUAGGUUGGUCAUGCCUCCGGUAUGUACUGGUCUCACUGAUUCCUCCUUCCUGAUGAACCGUAAUGCCAUUAAUUUGGUGUUGCGGGGAAUUUGGACUGUUACUUUGAAAAAAUUAGAGUGUUUAAAGCAAGCUAACGCUUGAAUACAUUAGCAUGGAAUAAUGAAAUAGGACGUUCGAUCCUAUUUUGUUGGUUUCUAGGAUUGACGUAAUGAUUAAUAGGGAUAGUUGGGGGCAUUAGUAUUCAAUUGUCAGAGGUGAAAUUCUUGGAUUUAUUGAAGACUAACUACUGCGGAAGCAUUUGCCAAGGAUGUUUUCAUUAAUCAAGAACGAAAGUUAGGGGAUCGAAGACGAUCAGAUACCGUCGUAGUCUUAACCAUAAACUAUGCCGACUAGGGAUCGGAUGAUGUUAAUUUUUUAAUGACUCAUUCGGCGCCUUACGGGAAACCAAAGUGUUUGGGUUC